UACGUAGGGGGCAAGCGUUGUCCGGAAUUAUUUGGCGUAAAGCGCGUGUAGGCGGCCAGAAAAGUCCGCUGUGAAAACUCGAGGCUCAACUUCGAGCUGUCGGUGGAAACUUUCUGGCUAGAGUCCGGAAGAGGAGAAUGGAAUUCCUGGUGUAGCGGUGAAAUGCGCAGAUAUCAGGAAGAACACCCGUGGCGAAGGCGGUUCUCUGGGACGGUACUGACGCUGAGACGCGAAAGCGUGGGGAGCAAACAGG
rnacentral:rRNA from 1 species